ensembl:snoRNA
GAGCACUGUUCAUAACCUGCCAGCCUGGCUUGCUGUGGUUGGUGGGUUCCAUUCCAGUGCUACAGCAUUUCCAGUGACACGUGACUGGCUGACUGGCUUUCAGUUUCAGGUCUUGGGGACAUGU